CUUUUUGUUCCUUUUUUUCCUUUUUUUCUUUUUUUGCUUUUUUUGCUUUUUUUGCUUUUCUCUUAUUCAUGUGAUCUAUUUGAAAAGUG
rnacentral:ribozyme from 14 species